AAAGACGUAUAAUAUAGUAUAAUAAGGAGAAGUCAUGGAGUCUUAACAUUAAAACCAAUCUGAAUCAUGAAAAAAAAAAAUAUAGCUAUUCUCUUAAUCAUAGACAUUGUCUACUUAUGCGGGUAUACCUCCUUGGAUUCCUAAGAAAAUAAGAUAUGAAACAAAACUAUAUCUGUCACAUAACAAAGGUUAACUAUAAUUUUUGUAGAUGUAAAUAAACUUACAUUGCUACGAAGUUGUCCACCUCGG
rnacentral:lncRNA from 1 species